UACGAAGGGGGCUAGCGUUGUUCGGAAUUACUGGGCGUAAAGCGUAUGCAGGCGGACUUUUAAGUCGGGGGUGAAAUCCCGAGGCUCAACCUCGGAACUGCCUUCGAUACUGGAAGUCUUGAGUCCGGGAGAGGUGAGUGGAACUCCGAGUGUAGAGGUGAAAUUCGUAGAUAUUCGGAAGAACACCAGUGGCGAAGUCGGCUCACUGGCCCGGUACUGACGCUGAGAUACGAAAGCGUGGGGAGCAAACAGG
rnacentral:rRNA from 1 species